GCGUCGCCCACGAUACCACAUCUUUGGAUAUGACAUUUUGUCAAUCACCAGUUUACACAAAAAUAAAGCAUGCAAACAAGCGACCGCCCGGAAUAUGGCCUGCGUCGUAUUUGAUUACGGGUCAAUCCGAUUUUUGUUCACUAUUUUAAGGAAACUCCGAGCAUAGCCCUCUUCAUUGCCCUCUGAGCGACCAUGAGCUUUCUCAUAAGGCCGAUAGUUAGGCACCACGUCUGCGUACCGUAAGUCAUCACUGGCAACACACACUGGUUGAAAAGGUCGUUGUCAGAUAAAUAUGUAUGUUUGGAUGACAAUGUUCUUUCCUUUUAAUGCUGCACUUAAAGGAACCCUUUUUGGUCAACAGUACAGG